CGAAAUUCGACGUUAGUCUAACGCGAGCCACGCCGAGAUUCGGACAAUAUGAGUAUGUCUAAGGUGUCGAGCAAGAUUUUUCCGUCUAUUAACGUUCUGUCACGUUAUUGACAUCGUUUAAUCCUCUUUCUCUUCCUCUCCUCUCUCUCUCUCUCUCUCUCUCUCUCUAUGAAUAUUCGAUAACCUCGCGGAUAAUCCACUCUUUGUGAGAUGUCAUGCAUGGAAAGUUAACGUAUAGUGUAAAUUAGCCAAUGUUACUUAAGUUUAAUACAUGUGAGAUGUAAAAAGCGCGUAACUCUUAAUGAGCCCAGUGUGUAUACGAGAGAGAGAGAGAGAGAAUCAUCCAGGGCGAUACUAGCGAAUUGCGUGGUGAAUAUCAUGAACUACGAACUCUUGGAGGAGCGAAGGCGUCACGAUAGAAGAGUACAAGUUGGAACGACGACGAGGUGGAAUCUAGAAUCGUGCGUACCGUGUCUUUUCUUCUUGACUUUGCUGUUAUUCUCAUCGAUUGUCGUAUUAUCGUCAUCCUCGCUGUCAACGUCGGUGUCAUCAUCGCGGUACACGUGAAAGAAGAGGUGCGUCAAGCGGCGAGGUGCGAAGUGCGCCGCGGGCAAGAAGCGCGUGUCGUGUUUGCGUUGAAAAAAGAUAGACGAGGGGUGGAAGUAAAAGUGGUGGAGGGAAAGGUGGAGGUGGAGGUGGAGGUGGAUGAUGAGUGCCAGAGAAAUCAUCCUCCUUGGCGGCUCCCCUUGGGGCUUCCGAAUGCACGGAGGACGUGACUUGCACCAACCCUUACGAAUCUCUAGAGUAAAUCCGGGUAGCAAGGCAGCUCAGCAAGGAGCCAGAGAGGGUGACUUGAUUAGUAGCAUAAACGACAAAAGCACUCGGGAACUGACGAAUAGCGAGGCUCAUGCUUUGCUACGUAAUGCCGGGGAUCAUUUGAAGCUGGGUUUGAAUCAAGAGAAUAUCGGCUCACCGAAAAGAAGAAUUUAUAAGAGC
rnacentral:lncRNA from 1 species